rnacentral:rRNA from 1 species
GACGAACGCUUGCGGCGUGCUUAACACAUGCAAGUCGAACGAUGAACCCGGAGCUUGCUCCGGCGGAUUAGUGGCGAACGGGAGAGUAACACGUUAGUAACCUGCCCUUGACUCUGGAAUAACUGCUAGAAAUGGUAGCUAAUACCGGAUACGACCCUCGGUGGCAUCACCAGGGGGUGGAAAGAAUUUCGGUCAAGGAUGGACUAGCGGCCUAUCAGCUAGUUGGUGAGGUGAGGGCUCACCAAGGCGCCGACGGGUAGCCGGCCUGAGAGGGUGACCGGCCACACUGGGGAUGAGACAGGGCCCAGACUCCUACGGGAGGCAGCAGUGGGGAAUAUUGCACAAUGGGAGCAAGCCUGAUGUAGCAACGCCGCGUGAGGGAUGACGGCCUUCGGGUUGUAAACCUCUUUUAGUAGGGAAGAAGCGAUAGUGACGGUACAUGCAGAAAAAGCACCGGCUAACUACGUGCCAGCCGCCGCCGUAA